rnacentral:rRNA from 1 species
GAUGAACGCUGGCGGCGUGCUUAACACAUGCAAGUCGAACGGUGAAGGCGGAGCUUGCUCUGCUGGAUCAGUGGCGAACGGGUGAGUAACACGUGAGCAAUCUGCCCCUGACUCUGGGAUAAGCGCUGGAAACGGCGUCUAAUACUGGAUACGAGCUGCGAAGGCAUCUUCAGCAGCUGGAAAGAAUUUCGGUCAGGGAUGAGCUCGCGGCCUAUCAGCUUGUUGGUGAGGUAAUGGCUCACCAAGGCGUCGACGGGUAGCCGGCCUGAGAGGGUGACCGGCCACACUGGGACUGAGACACGGCCCAGACUCCUACGGGAGGCAGCAGUGGGGAAUAUUGCACAAUGGGCGAAAGCCUGAUGCAGCAACGCCGCGUGAGGGACAACGGCCUUCGGGUUGUAAACCUCUUUUAGCAGGGAAGAAGCGAAAGUGACGGUACCUGCAGAAAAAGCGCCGGCUAACUACGUG